UAAGGAAUAUUGGUCAAUGGGCGGAAGCCUGAACCAGCCAUCCCGCGUGCAGGAUUAAGGUCCUAUGGAUUGUAAACUGCUUUUAUUAGGGAAGAAACGCCUUCAUUUAUGGGGGUCUGACGGUACCUAAGGAAUAAGCACCGGCUAACUCCGUGCCAGCAGCCGCGGUAAUACGGAGGGUGCAAGCGUUAUCCGGAAUCACUGGGUUUAAAGGGUGCGUAGGCGGGUUAUUAAGUCAGUGGUGAAAGCUGGUCGCUCAACGAUCAAAUUGCCAUUGAUACUGAUAGUCUUGAAUUGAGUUGAGGUUAGCGGAAUGUGACAUGUAGCGGUGAAAUGCGUAGAUAUGUCAUGGAACACCAAUUGCGAAGGCAGCUAGCUAGGCUUAUAUUGACGCUGAGGC
rnacentral:rRNA from 1 species